rnacentral:rRNA from 1 species
AUGGGGAUCUAUGUGGAAAGUUUGGUAGACACGUCCACCACCGUGUUUAACAAUCUGAAAUCGCUCAAACAUUUGCGAAUAUUUGGCAACUACUACAGGGCAGAAACCUGCUCCGUAAUUACUACAUUGUGGGAUGAGAAUGGGAGCACUGUACUUCCUUCAUCUCUUCGAUUCCUUGUGUUAAAAGGGUGCUACCUGCAACCAUCCUGUUUCAACAAGUUACUGAAGAAUCUCUCAUCGCUUGGUGCACUACACUUAAGCGAAUGUGACACUGUUGAGAUACCAGGUGUACCGGUAAGCCUGCACCACUUGACGAUGCUGAAACAGUUGGACAUUGAUAAAUGUGAUUGGAUAUCAUCCAUUGAGGGAGCAGAAGCACUGUUGUCCCUUGAAGAGAUGACAAUUAAACAAUGUUAUGCUCUGGAAUCUGUACCGUACUUAGAUGACAUGCCAUCUCUUCAAAAGCUACAUUUAUCCGAGUGCCCUCAAGUUAUGCGACUGUCUAAAGCAGGCCAUCAGACAGCCCUGAAGGAGCUGAUUGUAAGAUUUUGUGAUAGGCUAUCAUCUCUCCGGCAGUUGUGUGACCUUGUUUCGCUUGUGAGGCUGACGAUUAGUGGUUGUUCUAAUUUAUUGUGGCUUCCAGAUAUGGAUGGUUUUUAUUCUCUUCGGGUUCUCUCAAUUGAUCGGUGCCCCUGGCUGAUGUCACUGCCACGGAGUGGUCUUCCUGUAUGA